rnacentral:tRNA from 1 species
ACACUUUUGGACCGAGCGGGGUCGGCAAAGGUUCGUAUCCUUUCAACUGCGAUUGUGGAAUAUCGCGGUCGACGGUUCGUACUUCAUCAAGCCGUAC